UCUAACUUUCAUUGUGCUAUGGA
rnacentral:miRNA from 2 species